ensembl:snoRNA
AAUCCAGUUAAUAAUGUCUGCUCAACUUGAAAGUGUUUUGCAGAGUGUAUUUUAAAAUAAUGCUGGUAAAGUAAAGCCACAGUACGAGCCUUGAAGACUUUGUUGUCUUUGAGGUCCCAAGAGAUGGCUACAUCU